rnacentral:rRNA from 1 species
UACGUAGGGUGCGAGCGUUGUCCGGAUUUAUUGGGCGUAAAGGGCUCGUAGGCGGCGUGUCGCGUCGGGAGUGAAAUCCGGGGCUCAACCCCGGACUGCAGUGGGUACGGGCAGACUAGAGUGUGGUAGGGGAGACUGGAAUUCCUGGGUGUAGCGGUGAAAUGCGCCAGACUAUCAGGAGGGAACACCGAGUCGGCGAAGGCAGGUCUCUGGGCC